UCUGGUUGCUCAAUUUUCGGGACACCAUUGAAAUGCUGAGAUGAUUUAUUUUCCAUAUCAGCGCCUAGAGUAGUUCUGUUUUUUCUCAAGUUUCUUUUUGGAACUAGAAGAGCCUGGUCAUUAGUCACAUUGUCAACCAACUUUACAGGUUCAACACCAGCCAGUCUCCGUGAAAACCGAUGACUCACAUUGACAACAUCAUUGUCAACCAACUUGACAGGUUCAACACCAGCUAGUCUCCGUGAAAACCGAUGACUCACAUUGACAUCAUUUUUGGAUAUGUUAUGGUUACAGUGAUCCAUUUUCAAGGAUUCCCCUGAGGUAUCAAGAGCAACCAUUGUUCCAGAUGACAUAUUCACAUCUUGCCCU
rnacentral:lncRNA from 1 species